AUACGAAGGGUGCAAGCGUUAAUCGGAAUUACUGGGCGUAAAGCGCGCGUAGGUGGUUUUGUAAGUUGGAGGUGAAAGCCCCGGGCUCAACCUGGGAAUUGCCUCCAAAACUGCAUGACUAGAGUACGGUAGAGGGUAGUGGAAUUUCCUGUGUAGCGGUGAAAUGCGUAGAUAUAGGAAGGAACCCCAGUGGCGAAGGCGACUACCUGGACUGAUACUGACACUGAGGUGCGAAAGCGUGGGGAGCAAACAGGAUUAGAUUCCCUGGUAGUCCACGCUGUAAACGAUGUCAACUAGCCGUUGGGAACCUUGAGUUCUUAGUGGCGCAGCUAACGCACUAAGUUGACCGCCUGGGGAGUACGGUCGCAAGAUUAAAACUCAAAUGAAUUGGCGGGG
rnacentral:rRNA from 1 species